rnacentral:lncRNA from 1 species
ACAGCUCUUAAAGAGUCUCUUUAUUUCUAUAUGAUUGAGGUGCUAAGGAAAGGAGAGGUGACAUAGAACGAGACCCAGGAGACUGUAACUAGAAGGGCUGGAAAGAAGACUGGCAGAGGGACUUGAAUUUUUUUUUUUAACAUUUUACUCAUUAUUUGUGUACACAAACUUGCCAUGGCACACAGAUAGGAGUCUCUUCUCUCCUUCCACCAUAUCGGAGCUACUUGGUGAUUGCUGGGCUUGGCAGCAAGCACCUGUACCCACUAAACCAUCUCACCAGGUUUUUUUUUUUUUUUAACUAAUGAAAAUGCAUCUUUUGAUACGAUUAGUAGACUACCUUAAGGGUGAAGAUAAUAUGAAGUGCUCUUCAGAAUUUUAAUUGGUAUCAGGCUCUACUUUGUAGCAUUAGUAGGGUAGAUGUCAGUUUACUGCUUGAAUUCCAGAACACUAAUGAAAUGUAUAGGUGCAACAUGAGUAAACCAAUUUUUAUUAGGUUUUGUGCAGGCAUGUUUGUGUGCAUAUGCAUGUAUGCAUAUGGAGGCCAGAAGUUCCAUAAGGAUGGUUCAUCAGGAGCCAGCAACUUACUUUUGGUUGGUUGGUUUGAGGCAGUUCCACUAACUAGCCCUGGCUGACUUAGAACACACAUGGUAAGCUUGCCUUUGCCCUAGUUUCUCACAAGCUGGGUUAAGGGCUUUUGUCAGUUAGGCUAGACUACCCUAGGGACCCACCUAUAUCUGUCUCCUGAGCACUGGGCUUGGCUGCGAGCUUAACAAAUCUACUCAACUUUUAAGUUCAGGAGAUUAAAAUCAGAUCCUUACAUUUUGUAACAAGUGCUUCAGCAACUGAGCUGUCUCGCCAGCUCUAACUUUAAUCAUUGGGAAAACUGGAAUUACCAGGUAACAAUUGCAGUCUUUAGGUAGGUAUAUUAAAUAGAGCCCAGGGUUACAUAGAAGAGAUAAUAUUUGAUAGAAAGUCAGGAUUAGGAAGAGCAGAAUUCUGUACAGAAGAAAUGACAUUUUGGGAAACUUGAAAUAUUAACAAAGCAUAUCACAUCCAAGAGUCACCUGGUUUCUCUCCUUAAUCCUGUCUUGUAAGCAUCCUACCCAAGUGAGACUUAAUCCACCCGAAAUAUCUGCCGGCCCUUGAGCAGAGUCACCUCACGCUCUAGAGCUUUGUUGCUUUGGGAUCUUUAGUAAUGCUUGUCUUCAGUCAGAACUUCAUUGUCUGCCAGGGAUGAUGGUGUCUGCCUGUAACCUUAGCAUUAAAAAGAUGCAAACAGAAUUGCAAGUUGAAGGCCAGACUGACUGUCUUAACAAGAGCUUGCCUCAGAAAAACACCACCGAUAUACUGAAGAUACAGGACUCUUGGCACACGCCUUUAAUCCCAGUACUCUGGAGACAGGGAUCUCUAAGUUUGAGGCCAGCCUGGUCUUGAGAGUAAGUUAGGAAGGCCAAGGCUACAUAGAGAAACUCUGUCUCGAAAAGCC